CGUGUAGGCGGUUUAGUAAGUCAGAUGUGAAAGCCCUGGGCUCAACCCGGGAAGUGCAUUUGAAACUGCUUUACUUGAGUAUGGGAGAGGAGAGUGGAAUUCCUGGUGUAGAGGUGAAAUUCGUAGAUAUCAGGAGGAACAUCUGUGGCGAAGGCGACUCUCUGGACCAAUACUGACGCUGAGACGCGAAAGCGUGGGGAGCAAACAGGAUUAGAUACCCUGGUAGUCC
rnacentral:rRNA from 1 species